rnacentral:rRNA from 1 species
UACGGGGGGGGCAAGCGUUGUUCGGAAUUACUGGGCGUAAAGGGCGCGUAGGCGGCCAACUAAGUCAGACGUGAAAUCCCUCGGCUUAACCGGGGAACUGCGUCUGAUACUGGAUGGCUUGAGGUUGGGAGAGGGAUGCGGAAUUCCAGGUGUAGCGGUGAAAUGCGUAGAUAUCUGGAGGAACACCGGUGGCGAAGGCGGCAUCCUGGACCAAUUCUGACGCUGAGUGAGCGAAAGCCAGGGGAGCAAACGGG